GACGUAGGGCGCGAGCGUUGUCCGGAUUUAUUGGGCGUAAAGAGCUCGUAGGCGGCUUGUCGCGUCGUUCGUGAAAACCUGCAGCUCAACUGCAGGCUUGCGGUCGAUACGGGCAGGCUAGAGUUCGGUAGGGGGAGACUGGAAUUCCAGGUUGUAGCGGUGAAAUGCGUAGAUAUCUGGAGGAACACCGGUGGCGAAAGCAGCUUUCUGGGACGGUACUGACGCUGAGACGCGAAAAGCGUGGGGGAGCGAACAGGGA
rnacentral:rRNA from 1 species